AUAAUAUUUUAUAGUUUUCACUGUCUGUAAUUAAAACUUGAAAACAACUUAUUCAGAAUUUGAAAAUUUUCUUCAUUAAAAUAGGAAAAUAGAAGUGUGUAGCAGAGAAAAAGUAGAAAAAUUAAGAAAAUGAAUAAGAGAAACAUAUAUAAAGAGAAUAUUGUACUCCGAAAACUAUUUUUGGUUUAGAUCUAUUCAAAUUUGAGUAAAUUGAUAUCAGAUUUAAGUAGAUCUUAUCUUCUUCACCGGAAACUCAUCUCCUUUGCCUUCAGUGAGGGUGAAGUAAAGAGUCUGUGGUCGGUGGUUGCCAGUGAACCUCAAUUAAUCGUGAUCGUUGGUCGCCGAUGAUUAUAUAUCAGAAAGAGAAAGAGAAGAAGUAAGGCGUGGUUUCUGGUCGCAGGAAGAGAAAGAGGUAGAGAAAAAUGAAGGCGCAAAGAGGUCGAAGGCAACUGAAAGAGGAGGGAGACGUAGUUCGGAGACAACGAGAGAGAGAGAGAGAGGGAGAGAGAGAGAGAGAGACGCACAACCACCAUCACCGGUGAGUUCUCCGCUGUCCUCAGCGAAGAGAGAAAGACGAAACAAGUGCAAAAUGAAAGGAGAGAAGAAGAAAUCUUUUGAGAAGAACGACGGUCCUUGGCCAUUGUCUCAUGCCAUAGAUUAAACCAGAUUUUGGAUACAAAAGGGAAAAAAAAUGAGAAAGGUAAAGAUGAAGAUAGAAAAGAUAAAGCAAAGACCAAAGAUUUUGACAAAGAGAAAGGAAAACACAAGGAUGAGGAAACAUGAAAGUGAGAAAAUUAAAUUGAAGGGACAAAUUUGGCUGCUUUGCUAUAGUGGAUCCUGGGUUGCAUGAACAGUGACUUGAUUGAUAACAAUAAAGUGAGAUCAAAUGAAAUGUCGUAGUUAAAUUAAUAUGAAUGUUACAGUUAGAUUAAAUAUUUGUAUGACAAUAUUAAUGGAAUAAAAUGAUAUGUUGGUUGAUUGAAUGAAA